CAGUCCCACAGACUGCCCCCUCUUCCAGAGGCCAGUCACACGGCCCAGACCACCUGUACUUCUGACCAACUGGCUAUAAACUGGGGGUUCCCACGACCCCCUCUUCAGGUUCAAUAAUUUGCUCAAAGAGGUCACAACACUGAGGAAAGUGCUUUACGUGGGUUUACUGGUUUGUCCUGAAGGAUACAGCUCAGAACAGUCAGAUGGGAGAGAUGCAUAGGGCGAGGUGGGGUGGGGGGUGUGGACACCGCCUUCCCCACACCUGCACGGGCUCCCCACCUUGGAAGCUCGCCAACCUCAUCAUUUAGGGUUGUUAUGGAGAUUCCACGAUGAAGCCAUGCUUGAUUAGAUCAUUGGUCGCUGGCGAUUGAACCCAAAGGUCAGGGGGUGGGAUGUAAAUUCCAACCCUCUAAACCCUGGGUUGGUUUCCCUGGCAACCGGCCCCCACCCAGAAGCUACUAGAGGUCCACCAAGAGUCACCUCAUUAGGGUAAACUUGUGUAGGGUUGAAAGGGGCUCAUCAUGAAGAAUAAAACAUGGUUCUAUUACUCAGGAAAUUCCAAAUUCUACCACAGCCGGUUAAGGUGGUCAUUCUGCAGUCCAGUGACUCAGGAUCCCCAGCGUCGCCUGAGCCAUUGUGCUGUGUUGUGGCAUUUGCCUCUGUGUGGGCCUGUAGGAUUUCUGUUCGCCUCUGCGAAGCCCCAGGGGAGCCCGAGGCAGCCCUCUUUGGGACUAGAGGGACCCAUCGUGCAGCGUGGUCACGUUGGGUGUUUCCACGUGCUAGACCCUGUGCUGGUUGCCACUUUACCAGGCCCUCCUACCGUCACCUCUGGGAAAACCUAGGAUUUGGUCAUCUUGGGUGGGGCUUAGCCACAUGUUACCUCAAAAUGGCUUCAUCCAGUGUUAUUAUUCCCUGGAAGGGCCUGUGUGAGACUAGCUUGGUCCUGACAGGUGCAUGCACCCCUGAUCUUCUCUGGGCACCCUGGGGUCACCAGGAAUGACCCCAAGGCACAUCUGAAGGCCAAAACAGGGGGAGAUAUUAAAAUCUUCCUUCUCUCUGAGCAGCAGCUGCCAAUCCAGACGUCCCUCGUGACUGGGGUCCAGGUGGCAGAGCAACCUUGUGAGAGCUUCCCCUCCGCCCCCGUGUGGCUUUGCCAGCUCUGGGAUGAUGCCAGGAGCGCCCUUGACACCUCCGAGCCUCAAUCCCUCUUGUGGACCCGGGGAACAAGACCGUGGCUGCCUCGGAUGUGGGUGUCCAGGGAGGAUCCCUAGUAUCAAGCCGGCGGCCCAGGCAACGUUCCUUAUUCUUCUUACUGUCAUUGCCCGCAGGCCGGUGUCUGUCCUCCUUCGUCUCUGCUGGGCCUGCGGUGCCUGGAGAUGGCCUGGCUUGUUAUCCUCAGCCCCAGCAUGGUCGCCCCAGCCCGAGAACCGCUGAGGGAGAGGACGGAUGUGAUCUUUCAGGCUCCCCAGUAGCUCUCCACACACACUUGGACAGGAAGGCCCUCACUCCAUCACGGCUCUGGAUCCCGAGGCACAGGCAAGCUGUUGGUGCUGAGCCUCUGUUCAAAGGGUGUGGAAGCAGACACACACACAGCGUGGCAGCUGGGUUCCAAGAGUGAGCUUCCGGAAGGACCAAACACGGGUCCUGCGCAUUUCAUUUAUCCAGGAAGUUCGUGAAAUGCACGGCUAAAGUGAAAUGAGGUACCUGAUCGCUUAAACAUUACUGAAACAGCCCUACCUGGGUAGUUGCUGUUUGGGCCGGAGCAUAGCUAAUAAACUUCAUCUCUUUUGGACAAAACAUUGUGAGCUUGAAGAGUCUCAAGUCACAUUCGUUAUCAGCAAAGUGGAAGUCGCCUCAUGGUCGCCAUUGCGAGCUGUCCCCCGCGUCACUGCCCGCACCAUCAUCGUCAUCACCAUCACCACGCUCUUGACAUCACUGUCCCCAUCACCCGCCAUUGCUACCAUAUCACUACUACCCCGGCCACCACCACCACAAUCGUCACCACCGUCACCACCUCCCCAGCCACUGCCGCCCAGCACAACCCUGUCACCCUAACCGUCCACAUCCCUACCACCGCCACCAGCACGGCCACCCUCUAUCAGGAUCUCUCUGAGCUUCAGAUGGCAUAAAAGCCCCUGGUGACCAACAAAAGAUGAUAUUACUUGGCAACGAUGAUUUUUUAUAGUAAAGGGAGCCCCACUUGGGAAACGAAUCCUUUUCACAGAGACUGAUGGGGUGACUUCUCACAGCACAAAAUAAUUUGCAAAAGGAGUUCUUUCAGCAAGCAGCCUGACCUAUACGUUUCUACUGCAUUUCUCUCACCCCAAGGGUCUUCUUCUGGGAACUCUGGAGAAGCGAGCCAUGCCUCCAGCCUCCGACAUCGAGUGCUGAGCAGACCCCCACUUCCCCCCGCCUUCCGUGGCCUGUGUCACCCUGUGCCGGGCCCUGUGCCUGGGCCUUUGCACUCAAGCUCCCUGAAGAGGACAGACUGGAGGGGGGGGGGCGGUGGCUGAGUGCCCGGCCGGCCCCACUCUUGGGAAGAGAAGCCAAAAGGAGACCCGUCCAGGAGCAGGUCAAGAAGGACAUCUUUGCCUGGGAAGAAGAAGGUGAUCUAUUGGUCUUCCUUCUGGGGAACAUUUUAUUUGAUGCCAUUUUCCCUGUUGAGUGGCCUCUGCAGCGUUCACUUCGAGCAGCGGAGCUUUGUAGAGUUGUCUGUUCUUGUAGGCACUGGAGUGUUUCCCCUGGCCCUGCUCACAGAGCGGGCACCACGUGCUGGAGAGGUCUUGGAUGUGUCCUGCCCUGCAGAGUCGCCGUCCUGCUCUCAGAGGCUACCCAGACUAGCUUGUUCUUUGGGAUGCUUGCCCUGCACUGACCGGCCUGCCGCCACUUUGUGUAGAGUUCUGGCUUCCUGCUGUCCCUUCUGAAGGAGAGCUGGUCCACUCCGGCCGGCCAGAGGCGGCACGUCUGUUGUUCUGCUCGUCUAGCAUUUACUCCCCUCCCUCCAUUUAUUUUUUCUUUUGGCGGGGAGAAUCCCUUUCUCUACUCUGCGUGUGGGGGGUCGUACGGACUAGAUGCCCCCUCCCUGCUUCGUGACCCUGUUCUAGGAGUAAAGAUGGCAUCCAGACCUAAUCAGUUGGACUUUUCCCUUGGGCUUUGGGCUCUCAGAAUAACGGAAUGCAUGACUCCCCUUGACUCAAGGAGCUUUAAUCCUGGCACUCUUGCUAGAAUUGUUUGCAAAGAGAAAAUCUCUUUAUUCUGAUCUUGAACCUGGAUGAAUGCAGGCUUACGUCGUCAGGGGCGAGCUUCAGGAGCGGGCCUGCCUGGGAGCGAAACCGGUGGGGAGGGCAGAAGUGAGCAAUACGGAGGGAAACUGAAUUCCGAUGACAUCUUUCCAGUGCGAGGCGUCAGCUGUUUCGGACACGUCCUGGGAUUGUCAGUGACACGAGCCAAAAAGGUCCCCUGGGAUGGUUGAGCAAGUUUAAGUUGUGUUUCUGUCCAACUGAGAAGGUCUUUAAUUCAGCCAGGAUCCCUCGUCUGAAGAAAAUCACUGUCAUUUGGAGGAAAAGCCUCUAGGCAUCGAGGAAACCAUCCUCUGUGUUUCGAAAGAUGUCAGAAUAGUUUCUGUCAUGGACCACGAGCGCUGGUGUUUUCCUUCUCUUCGUUCUCUGGGACUUGGGCUCCUGCCCAGCCCUGGCCAUUCGUUGGGCAGGACUUCAGAGGACAGUGGCAGUGGCCAAGUGUAGAUGAGGCCUGGUUCAGGGAGGCGGCUCCUGUGGCACCUGUGGUGGGUGCUGGGAGGUGACAGGUGGGGGAGGAGGAGUAGAGAAGACCACUUAUUUGCUUCUCAAUUUAACCUUUGAUCUGGUUUGUGAAUCUGAUGCCCAAAGAGCCUGCACAUCAAGGACUCAAAGAUUUCCUUGUUAGAAUCUAGUGUCUGUGUCUUUUCUAAGCUGAUAAUUUGCCAUUAAAAUAUUCGUAGGGAGCCCAAAGGAAGGAACCCUAAGUAGGGAAACAAGAAUUAAAUGAUCUAAAUCCA